AGCGUCCAUGAUGUUACGCAAUUACCUACAUUGUUUGAGCCUCAUGAAAACAUAACUGGCUGAGACGCCU
rfam:Ictidomys tridecemlineatus contig089704, whole genome shotgun sequence.